rnacentral:rRNA from 1 species
GAUGAACGCUGGCGGCGUGCCUAAUACAUGCAAGUCGAGCGAACGGACGAGAAGCUUGCUUCACUGAUGUUAGCGGCGGACGGGUGAGUAACACGUGGAUAACCUACCUAUAAGACUGGGAUAACUUCGGGAAACCAGAGCUAAUACCGGAUAAUAUCUUUAACCGCAUGGUUCAAAAUUGAAAGACGCUCUUGCUUUCACUUAUAUAUGGAUCCGCGCUUCAUUAGCUAGUUGGUAAGGUAACGGCUUACCAAGGCAACGAUGCAUAGCCGACCUGAGAGGGUGAUCGGCAACACUGGAACUGAGACACGGUCCAGACUCCUACGGGAGGCAGCAGUAGGGAAUCUUCCGCAAUGGGCGAAAGCCUGACGGAGAAACGCCGCGGGAGUGAUGAAGGUCUUCGGAUCGUAAAACUCUGUUAUUAGGGAAGAACAUAUGUGUAAGUAAAUGUGCACAUCUUGACGGUACCUAAUCAGAAAGCCACGGCUAACUACGUG